UGUGUGAAACCUGAUGGCUGACCUUGCAUGUGAGAAUCUCCUUGUUGUGCCAUGAAUGAAGGUGGUGGAUGACCUUGCCUUUGCAGUGAUCCUUGUCCAGCCAUGAAAGAGUGUGGUGGAGCUCCUUGUUGUGGCACAAAAGAAGGUGGUGAGGACUGCUGCACGUUUCUUGCAAAAGCUGAUGGCUGAUCUUGCAUCUGCUGUGAUCUUUGUCCAUCCAUGAAGGACGGUGGUGAAGCUCCUUGUUGACCUUGCAUCUGCUGUGAUCUUUGUCCAUUCAUGAAAGACGGUGGUGAAGCUCCUUGUUGAGUGAAAGAAGGUGAUGGUGCCUGAUGCGGAUUUUGUGCAAAAGGUGAAGGCUGACCUUGCAUUUGAUGUGAUCCUUGUCCAGAAACAAAAGAGGGUGGUGAAGUUUGUUGCCACCUUGGAUUAGGCACUGACUGCUGGCCUUGCAUUUGUGAUGAUCCUUGUCCUCCCAUGAAAGAAGGUGGUGAAGCUUGUUGCCAGCUAGGAUUAGGCACUGACUGCUGGCCUUGCAUUUGUGAUGAUCCUUGUCCUCCCAUGAACGAAGGUGGUGAAGCUUGUUGCCAGCUAGGAUUAGGCACUGACUGCUGGCCUUGCAUUUGUGAUGAUCCUUGUCCUCCCAUGAAAGAAGGCGAUGAAGAUUGUUGCGACAUGGAGCUAGGAGCAUAUGCUGCACUUUGCAUUUGUGGUGAUCCUUGUCCUCCCAUGAAAGAGGGAGGUGAAUUUUGCUGCCACAAUGAGUUACGAGCUGAAGGCUGACUUUGCACUUGUGCUGAUCC
rnacentral:lncRNA from 1 species